AUGGGUGGCAAUUUUGAACACAGAAGAAAUGCUAACAUUUGUUUCUGUUUCUAUGAGUUCCUCCAGUGCCUGCAACACAGAGGUGUUAGCGCCUUUGCCCCUGCAGGUGUCCAGCGUGAGGUGCAGCUGGUGGAGUCUGGGGGAGGCUUGGUUCAGCCUGGGGGGUCCCUGAGACUCUCCUGUGCGGCCUCUGGAUUCACCUUCAGUUACUACUGGAUGAAUUGGGUCCGCCAGGCUCCAGGGAAGGGGCUGGAGUGGGUCUCAUACAUUAAUUAUAAUGGUGGUAGCACAUACUACGCAGACUCCGUGAAGGGCCGAUUCACCAUCUCCAGAGACAACGUCAAGAACUCACUGUAUCUGCAGAUGAACAGCCUGAGAGCCGAGGACACGGCCGUGUAUUACUGUACGAGAGACACAGUGAGGGGAAGUCAGCGUGAGCCCGGACACAAACCUCCUGCAGGAACACUCGGGGAAAUCAGCUGCAGGGGGCGCUCGGGAGCCACUGAUCAGCGUCAACCCCAGAGGCAGGUGCAGAUGGAGGCUGGUUUCCCGUCAGGAUGUGGGACUUCAUCUUCUUACAGUUUCUCUAGUGAAUCUUUCUAA